rnacentral:pre_miRNA from 1 species
UUUCUACUCCCUCCGUCCGAAAAUACUUGUCAUCAAAAUGGAUAAAAAGAGAUGUAUCUAGAACUAAAAUACGUCUAGAUGCAUCCCCUUUUAUCCAUUUUGAUGACAAGUAUUUCCGGACGGAGGGAGUACAUG